AUAAUCACGUUCCGGCGGGUAAAUAUACAUUUUUUUUUGCCAGGAUUUCCCUGGUAAAAAUCGCAUUCCAGGUGCUAAAUAUUACAUUAUUGGGGUCGCAUCAACCCGCGGACAUGAAAAACAACCCGCGCCAACAGUGUUAAAUCCAGGGUUGCCAGGUUUUCAAAAACAAAACCCUCCCCGUUGCUACUCAAAACUAGCCCAAAACUAGCCCAAGCGCGUUUUGAGGGGGCACCCCGGGAAUAAUCGCGUUCCCGGGGGUAAAUACAUGGGUUUUUUUGGCGGGAUUUCCUUGGUAAAAAUCGCAUUCCAUGGGCUAAAUAUUGCAGCCCAACCUGGCAACACUCGCAGCCGUUAUUCAAUGCCGUAGCCUUGAUUUAUGCAUGAGUAUCUUUACGGUUCUAACUAGCGUGUAAUGCAUUGUCGUUCGAUAGCUUUUGAGUUUGGAUCCGUCUCGUUUUGUUUAAACUGAGCCUCAUUUUUUUGCAUGUCGGCCUGAUGGAAUUCUUAAAGAGUUCAGCUCAGAUGUGUAUAGAAACAUGGUGUGCUUGAUCAAACCGACCGAACAAAUCGUUCUGAUCAAGUUCACCUUGACUGUUAAUCUUCCAUUCUCACAACAGAAACCAUCAUCUGUAUUGAACAGAGACAUGAGUCGGUGUUUGUUCGAACACUAAGUUUGACUCCCAAAUUGGACUUUUUAGCUCCAGAUGCGUCUACAACACCAAUCCUGUCCAAAAAUACAACACUCAUACCGUUGAAAUGUACCAGACAAUCUACUGCUAAUGUAAAAACACUUUGAGAACUGAGUCACAGACGUUUCAGGAGUUGUGUAACUGAGUAUUGACGUCUUGUGUUUUCAUGUGAAGGAAAUCCCAAAGAUCGCGUAUGUAACUGGAUGUAAAAGCGCUCGUCAGAUACGAGCGCGGAUAUUACGGACUGUAUUCCAAAGAUCUGCUUUUUUAUUCAAAUCGAAAAUGGAUUGGAAACGGAUUCUUUUGUUUUUCGGUUUCAUCGUUUUGCUCAUUUGUUGGUUUGUUGAAUCAUGUUCAUGUACAAAUGGAUUUUUGUUGUUGGAAAUCACGAGAGAAAAUUGAUCAAAUUUUAGUUUUGCAUUCAUGAUCAACGUCUUUGAAACAUUCAAAGUUCAUGUUCUUCCACAAAAUGUUUGACCAUAAAUAAAGAGAACAAGUGAUUUUA